CUCAAAAGGAAGAAAAACGGAAAGUUCCUACAACAUCAAUAACAUCAUGAUCUCCAUGUGAAUGGCAGCAGCCACUCGAGAGGAGAAGCUCCAGUACAAAGAGAUCGUGACACCAAGGUCCUCCAACAAACUAGAUGGCUGAUGGUCCAGGCAGCCUGAGCUGACAUCUCCAGUUCCUGGACUUCAUUGCCACACUCCACCAGCUCACACAGCCCUGAGACUGGAAACAACCUGCAGCCUCUCUCCAUAAGCAGCAGGAUCAGAAUGGAGCUGUCCUUCAGUGAAGAUGCCAGAUCUCACCUAGAAGCCUUAGACAAAGCAAUUUGGAGUGUACCACACCGGGAGCCUUGUGCCUUUCCACUCUCCGAUGCUGGGCACCACACUCUUCUGCAGCAGCCACAGGCAGUUGGCUGCAGAGAGGCUGACGCUCAGCCCAAGCAGAGCAUCAAGUGCAGAAACUGCCACAGCCAGCUCCAGAGAGGCAGUUUGCAAGUACGUGCUUGCAAACAUGGCAAUAAGAACACAGAGGGAUUCAUGCUCCAGCAGUGCAACCCAGGGAAGCUCUUCAGCGAAGAGAAACCUGACCCAGGGGUGUAGGAAGUGUUAAGACGCUCAUCCCUCAGUAUCAAGACACCACUAGGUGGAUGCACUGGAGCAGUAGCAAGGUCAGGUGCUGCUGCAGACACAGCAACACUGGGCAUCCCACUGAGAGGAAGAGUCAGGCAAGAGGAAUUCCAGUGGAAUUCCAGAAUGGAACUGGAAUUUUUUGAUCUUAGUAAAGGUGCCCACCAGGUGCUGAGUGGCUAGAGGCAGAAAUGUGGACAGGUUUCAGGUGGUCCUCACCCACUUCAUCUAUUUACAAACAGCCCAGCAGGUCUGCGGAGGUCUUGCUGUGAUUUAGGUAUCAACCAAAGGCCUGAUGAGGAAGAUGGAAGGAGAAAGCCUCUUGCUGCUGCUGCUUGCUGUUUACCAUUAAAUACAUGAAAAUCAGGUUCCCCUGGCCUUGCACAAUUGAUUUUUUUUUUCAGUUUUCUUCGAUGAAACUGCAGGUUCAUUUGGUAACAGAUUUCUUGCCGUUACAAAAUUGAUGGGUUGAAAGGGAAUUUCUGACUUUUGUAACUUUUUCGGGAUUGCCUCCUUUCAUGGGAGUGACAGCAGGCUCAGGGAUUUUAGCAACAAGCCACUGUAAAGCAGUACAGCUUGAGGGAAAUGUGCGUUCUGUGAAGGAACCUGGCGUUGCUGCCGCUUCCAGGUGAGCGGGGCAGGAAGCCAUUUCAGGGAGUGCACUUGAAAGCUGGCAGGUCUGGUAGGUGUCCUACCAGAACGUGUCAAAUUCAGUGCUGCUAACUGAAAGGCCUUGGAACUGUAUUCGUUUAACCAGCAACAGUGACAUGUUCCAGCUUGAAUUCUUCUCACUUGAAAUAAUUCUCUUAAGUAAAGGUUGUUUCUCUAGAACAGAGGGAAAAAAAGUUCUUACUACCGUUUUUUUAUGGAAAAACGUGCUUUAUUGACUCUAACAAUGAUCCAUGAAGUUGACAUUACUGGAUGUUUGUUUUCAUCACUCUGUCUACCUCCAGAAGUGUCCUUUCUUGCAAGUAUUUAUUUCUGGGUUGGAGACUGAGGAGUACUGUGAAGCUCUAGUGCACUGUACUGGGACUGUGAUUCUGAGGGUACUGCCAGAAAUGUUGCAUCGAGCGUCAGUGGCACGUGGC